GGUUAUUUUCUAAUAUUGACAAAUAUACCCCUCUUAUAGGACUGUUUUAAAAUUUGGACAAAUAUACCUCUCUUACGGGGUUAAUUUCUCACAUCGAGAAAUAUACCACUUUUUUGGGUUUGUUUUCUCAUUUACAAAGAUAUACCCAUCUUACGGGGUUGUUUUCUAAUAUUGACAAAUAUACCCCUCUUACAGAGUUGUUUC
rnacentral:lncRNA from 1 species